GGACUGAGACAUGGCCUAGACUCCUACGGGAGGCAGCAGUGGGGAAUAUUGCGCAAUGGGGGCAACCCUGACGCAGCAACGCCGCGUGCAGGAAGAAGGUCUUCGGAUUGUAAACUGUUGUCGCAAGGGAAGAAGACGGUGACGGUACCUUGUGAGAAAGUCACGGCUAACUACGUGCCAGCAGCCGCGGUAAUACGUAGGUGACAAGCGUUGUCCGGAUUUACUGGGUGUAAAGGGCGCGUAGGCGGACUGUCAAGUCAGUCGUGAAAUACCGGGGCUUAACCCCGGGGCUGCGAUUGAAACUGACAGCCUUGAGUAUCGGAGAGGAAAGCGGAAUUCCUAGUGUAGCGGUGAAAUGCGUAGAUAUUAGGAGGAACACCAGUGGCGAAGGCGGCUUUCUGGACGACAACUGACGCUGAGGUGCGAAAGUGUGGGGAGCAAACAGGAUUAGAUACCCUGGUAGUCCACACCGUAAACGAUGGAUACUAGGUGUAGGAGGUAUCGACCCCUUCUGUGCCGCAGUUAACACAAUAAGUAUCCCACCUGGGGAGUACGACCGCAGGGUUGAAACUCAAAGGAAUUGACGGGGGCCCGCACAAGCAGUGGAGUAUGUGGUUUAAUUCGAAGCAACGCGAAGAACCUUACCUGGGCUUGACAUCCCUGGAAUCGAGUAGAGAUACUUGAGUGCCUUCGGGAAUCAGGUGACAGGUGGUGCAUGGUUGUCGUCAGCUCGUGUCGUGAGAUGUUGGGUUAAGUCCCGCAACGAGCGCAACCCCUAUUGUCAGUUGCCAUCAUUAAGUUGGGCACUCUGGCGAGACUGCCGGUGACAAAUCGGAGGAAGGUGGGGACGACGUCAAAUCAUCAUGCCCCUUAUGCCCAGGGCUACACACGUACUACAAUGGCCGAUAACAAAGUGCAGCGAAACCGUGAGGUGGAGCGAAUCACAAAACUCGGUCUCAGUUCAGAUUGCAGGCUGCAACUCGCCUGCAUGAAGUUGGAAUUGCUAGUAAUCGCGGAUCAGAAUGCCGCGGUGAAUACGUUCCCGGGCCUUGCACACACCGCCCGUCACACCAUGAGAGUCGAUAACACCCGAAGCCUGUGAGCUAACCUAUUAGGAGGCAGCAGUCGAAGGUGGGGUUGAUGAUUGGGGUGAAGUCGUAACAAGGUAGCCGUAUCGGAAGGUGCGGCUG
rnacentral:rRNA from 1 species